AAAAGAGAAAUGGAAGAAGAAGAAGAAGAAGAAGAAGAAGAAGAAGAAGAAGAAGAAGAAGAUGGCGAUGAGGCCAUGGGAGCAGCACUCGGCUGUCAUCAGCAUCCCUCGCUUCGACUACAACGCUCCGUCUUCUCUCCUUUGCUUUCUUGGUUGUCAAUUUGAUGGGUUUUCGUUCUGUUCUUUUUUCCUUUCUCCAGAGAGGGAGAAGAGCGCCACCAAAGAAGCCAUUGUCUUCCUGAAGUUGAACCUUAGCGUUACUGAAUGAGAUGCCACAUAAUGUCUUUGAGUAAGUGUGUGGUUCAUCUAUGCUUGGAGCUUGAAAGUGAAGAAUUGGGUCUCCUUUAAGUAAGUGUUCUCGCUUUGGUUAGUGACAUCCUGAUCAUAGGGUGGUUCGUGUCGAAGUAAUCUGAAAUAGCUCAAUGAAAUGGGUCUUCCUACUUAGGAUAGUGAAAUGUCAUCGUCCAUGGAUGUUCUUGCAGUUUUGUGGGACAUUUGCUGCUAGGGAGAGUAAUAACUUGAAGCUGGCUGAUGCGAGGUUAAACUGCUGAGAGAAGGAAAGUAUGUCCUAAGGAAUUAGAUCAGGACAGUGCCGAUGGUCCCGAGUGUGGGAAUUCAACCAAUUAGUAUUGGAAUGAGAAUGGUACUCUUCUUCUGUUCAAACCGGAUUACUACGUACUUAGAUUUCUGCAAAAUAGUCUAACUGCCUCCAACUUUACUAUUCAACUGAAAGCAUGUAAGCUUUCAGAAGAUGUAUCUUCCCAAGCAAAGGAAGACAUGCCCGUGCGAAUCAAUUUCCAGCUAUUUCAUUAGUUAAGUUGACAGGGAGUGGUUUGCUUCUCUUUACAUUCCCCCAAGAGGAUUCAGCCGACACCAUUCACAUUGUGUCUCACAUUAUCGAUUCCCCGGGAUCUGGAAAGUCAAGCUCCCCACAGUUGAAUGAGCCAGACAUAAGGACUGUUGUUCAAACUCUUGUUCUCAAGUUUAUGAAGGAUAACCCAAGCAGACUUGCACAGCAGGUAAAGUUGUUGCUUCGUACCCUGUUGCACGAAGUCUAUUCCUCUCCCUUCAAUCAACUCAGAGCUGUUAACAAUUUGUUUAUGCAUCCUUACAAAUUGGUCGAUCUUGUGAAUCUGUAUGUUCAAAAGCGAACUGACUCACAAUUGGCAAACCAGCUCCAAAUGCCGGAUUAGAGAAUUCGACAGUGCCUUCAAAGUUAUGGACGCACGUACAUUAAUACACGAUCUUCAGUGGAAAAGAAGAAUUCAAUGCAGUUGUUUGGGUGCUGCUGAGAAUUGAAAGAAGACAGAUGAAUUUGGACGUCCAGUGAGAUUCAUCGACGUCACUUUUGUGGUCCGUCAUUUCUCAGCAGCCGCAGAUGGAUCGAAAACUCAGAUAAAUGCCUUGAAAAAGAGUAAAGGGACAUCAAUACGAAAGAAGAUAAUCAUCUGCUGAGAAAGAGAGAGCUCGGCAAUGGCCACAGAUAAAAUUAAAGUUCUGAGAAAUGGAGCCAAGAAGCAAUGCAAUGCGUACCAAAAAAUCAGCGCGAAUUGUGGGACCUGCAGAGAGAAAGAGAGAGAAGAACAAGAGAAUUACGAGUUCUUAUACCCACCUCCACGGCCUGGAGCUGCCGCCUCCUCUUUGGGUCCGUCAGCGUGAGCACAGCAGCCAAUACAGCUACCGAGCUGCCACCAAUGGUGGUGGUCGUCAUGCCAUCCACAGACGCAAAGUAAGCCGGUGCAGUGGGGAUGGGCGGAAUGGCGAACUGGGUGAAUGUUCUCGACCUCGGUGUUGCCUUCGAGAUCUUGAUUGGGCUAGGAUUCAGUGCAGUCUUGGAGUUGUUCGCACUGUGGAAGCAAAUGGGGAUUAAGGACACUGAGCAAGCCAUUCUACUUAUCUUCACCUGCCGAUGCUCUGGUGAGUAAGU